UACGUAGGUGGCAAGCGUUAUCCGGAUUUACUGGGUGUAAAGGGCGAGUAGGCGGGAUUGCAAGUCAGAUGUGAAAACUAUGGGCUCAACCCAUAGACUGCAUUUGAAACUGUAGUUCUUGAGUGAUGGAGAGGCAGGCGGAAUUCCCGGUGUAGCGGUGGAAUGCGUAGAUAUCGGGAGGAACACCAGUGGCGAAGGCGGCCUGCUGGACAUUAACUGACGCUGAGGCGCGAAAGCGUGGGGAGCAAACAGG
rnacentral:rRNA from 1 species